AAAUUGAAGAGUUUGAUCAUGGCUCAGAUUGAACGCUGGCGGCAGGCCUAACACAUGCAAGUCGAACGGUAACAGGAAGCAGCUUGCUGUUUCGCUGACGAGUGGCGGACGGGUGAGUAAUGUCUGGGAAACUGCCUGAUGGAGGGAUAACUACUGGAAACGGUAGCUAAUACCGCAUAACGUCGCAAGACCAAAGAGGGGGACCUUCGGGCCUCUUGCCAUCGGAUGUGCCCAGAUGGGAUUAGCUAGUAGGUGGGGUAACGGCUCACCUAGGCGACGAUCCCUAGCUGGUCUGAGAGGAUGACCAGCCACACUGGAACUGAGACACGGUCCAGACUCCUACGGGAGGCAGCAGUGGGGAAUAUUGCACAAUGGGCGCAAGCCUGAUGCAGCCAUGCCGCGUGUAUGAAGAAGGCCUUCGGGUUGUAAAGUACUUUCAGCGGGGAGGAAGGGAGUAAAGUUAAUACCUUUGCUCAUUGACGUUACCCGCAGAAGAAGCACCGGCUAACUCCGUGCCAGCAGCCGCGGUAAUACGGAGGGUGCAAGCGUUAAUCGGAAUUACUGGGCGUAAAGCGCACGCAGGCGGUUUGUUAAGUCAGAUGUGAAAUCCCGGGCUCAACACUGGAACUGCAUCUGAUACUGGCAAGCUUGAGUCUCGUAGAGGGGUAGAAUUCCGUGUAGCGGUGAAAUGCGUAGAGAUCUGGAGGAAUACCGGUGGCGAAGGCGGCCCCGGACGAAGACUGACGCUCAGGUGCGAAAGCGUGGGGAGCAAACAGGAUUAGAUACCACGGUAGUCCACGCCGUAAACGAUGUCGACUUGGAGGUUGUGCCCUUGAGGUGUGGCUUCCGGAGCUAACGCGUUAAGUCGACCGCACGGGAGUACGGCCGCAAGGUUAAAACUCAAAUGAAUUGACGGGGGCCCGCACAAGCGGUGGAGCAUGUGGUUUAAUUCGAUGCAACGCGAAGAACCUUACAGGUCUUGACAUCCACGGAAGUUUUCAGAGAUGAGAAUGUGCCUUCGGGAACCGUGAGACAGGUGCUGCAUGGCUGUCGUCAGCUCGUGUUGUGAAAUGUUGGGUUAAGUCCCGCAACGAGCGCAACCCUUAUCCUUUGUUGCCAGCGGUCCGGCCGGGAACUCAAAGGAGACUGCCAGUGAUAAACUGGAGGAAGGUGGGGAUGACGUCAAGUCAUCAUGGCCCCUUACGACCGGGGCUACACGUGCUACAAUGGCGCAUACAAAGAGAAGCGACCUCGCGAGAGCAAGCGGACCUCAUAAAGUGCGUCGUAGUCCGGAUUGGAGUCUGCAACUCGACUCCAUGAAGUCGGAAUCGCUAGUAAUCGUGGAUCAGAAUGCCACGGUGAAUACGUUCCCGGGCCUUGUACACACCGCCCGUCACACCAUGGGAGUGGGUUGCAAAAGAAGUAGGUAGCUUAACCUUCGGGAGGGCGCUUACCACUUUGUGAUUCAUGACUGGGGUGAAGUCGUAACAAGGUAACCGUAGGGGAACCUGCGGUUGGAUCACCUCCUUACCUUAAAGAAGC
rnacentral:rRNA from 1 species